rnacentral:tRNA from 1 species
GCCGCAGUAACUCAGGGGUAGAGUAGCUGAUUUGUAAUCAGCCUGUCGUCAGUUCAAAUCUGACCUGCGGCUCCA